rnacentral:rRNA from 1 species
GACGAACGCUGGCGGCGUGCUUAACACAUGCAAGUCGAACGGAAAGGCCCUGCUUUUGUGGGGUGCUCGAGUGGCGAACGGGUGAGUAACACGUGAGUAACCUGUCCCUGACUGUGGGAUAACUUCAGGAAACUGGGGCUAAUACCGGAUAGGAGCUCUUGCUGCAUGGUGGGGGUUGGAAAGUUUCGGCGGUUGGGGAUGGACUAGCGGCUUAUCAGCUUGUUGGUGGGGUAGUGGCUUACCAAGGCUAUGACGGGUAGCCGGCCUGGGAGGGGGAGCGGCCCCAUUGCGACUGAGAUGCGGCCCAGCCUCCUACGGGAGGCAGCGGUGGGGAAUAUUGCACAAUGGGCGGGAGCCAGAUGCAGCAACGCCGCGUGCGGGGUGACGGCCUUCGGGUUGUAAACCACAUUCGCCUGUGACGAGGCGUGAGUGACGGUACUGGGUAAAGAAGCACCGGCUAACUACGUG